rnacentral:lncRNA from 1 species
CUUGAAAGAGGAGAGACUAUCGUGCUGAUAACGUGUUAUGAACUAUUUCUAAAGAAUAACAAGAAUAUAGAAGGAGAAGAGAAAGAGAGAAGAGAAAGGAAUAGACCAUUGUUAUUAUUCUAUUCACAAGUGUGCUUUACAUUGUAAUAAAGAGAUCUUAUUUAUAGGACACAAUUAGGGGACAAGAAAACCUACACAAUAAUAGACAUUCAUUACAUAUUAUUCAUAACAUAUAUCAUUAUUUUUCAUUUGAACAUGAAUAUUUAUUCACAUAGUCGCAUUCACAUUUAUAUCUAAUGCACUUUGGAACUACAGGAAAGCGACACAUACUGAUUGGACAAUCACUAGCCGUUUUGCAUUGCACAUCUGCGAAGUCAAAUAAUAAUAAACAAACGUUAGCAAAAGGAAAUGAAAUGUUAUCUAAAACCUAAAAAACUAAACGGUGUAGGUAAGGGUCGGAGUUCGAAUCGCGGUCAUUCCACUUAUCCACUUUAAGGUUGAAAUUUUUAAUCAUUAGAUUACUUAACAAAAAAAAAAAGAACUAAACAGUGUCAAGAAUAACUUACAUCCGUCAAUUACCACAAAAAAUAGCGAAAGAAUAACUAAUAGAGUGAAUAUUUGAGCCAUAUUUUUCAUGCUUUGCAUGUUAUAAAUAAAAACUUAGCUUGAAGUAUUUAUAAGCAU